AACCUUCAGUUGUGCCUGUUGAAGUAAAAUUUCUGGUCUUUCUGGUACAUCUCUGAAUUAUAUGAAUGGCAUGACAGAAUUUUCUGCUAUCAAAAAAUUAUUGUUGCAGCUUUUUAAGAUACAUUUCUCAUUCUGGUCACUGCUGUUAUGCUACUUCAGCAGCUUUAAGUAGUCAAGCUAAUUGUGACAGCAGUGAUUUGUUUGUUCUGAAUCAGAAGUUUCAUUACGGAAAGUUACUGGCUAUAUUUUGUAACCAUUAGUGUCAGAGAACUUGUACAGGUCAGGAAAUGCGUAGAGCCAGCAGUCUACUCACUUGGAAAGGUAUCCAUAGACAAUAAAGUUUUAUGAACAGAAGUUUAAUGGCAUGGAUCUUUCCAGACUUUCCAAAGAGGCUGAGCAUAAAUGAUUUUUAAUGCUGAAUCCUUUUAGUUAAGUAUCUGCAAGUUUCCCAGGCUGCAUCCUGCUCCACUCCUGUACAAUGGGGCCAUCUGUAAUUGAUGAACCUUCAACCUUUCUGUGUUAAUUUUGUCUAAGCUUUGGGGGAAGGUGUCAAUUAAAAAUUAAAAGAAUCUUCUUUCCAUUAAAUUAAAGAGCAUUUAAAAAAAAGAAAUGCCACCCUCUGAUAGCAGUUUAGCAGCUGGAAGGAUAGUCUAUCAGCCAGCCAGAGAAGGAACAGCAGAAAUGAAUAUACAUGUGUAUCCAUAUGUAGGGCUCGGUUUUCUUGAGCAAUUGCCAUUUUAUCCUGGAGUAACCCAUGAAUCUUUUGCAGGAGGGUGUCAGAUAAUGCUUUCUUCAAACCCAAGCCAGCUGUAUGUGCAGUCAGGGAGAGCCAUAUGGUGCCUCGUGUGCAAGGCUGAUAUUUGCUGCGUUCUGAAGAUAGCUCUAAAGUCUGUCUCAUGGCAUGAGCCCUGAGCUGCAUUUGGCAGCUGCUUUCUGCCUAGGAGAUUCAAGGAUCAAGGGACACACACACUGGAUGGGUUGGAAGGCAGGACAUUUUCCAAAUUACGUAGAAAAGCUGUCCCUCUUCAGGAGGGUGCCUGACCAUCAGGCUGUGCCCAAAGGACAUUCUCUACCCAUCUGUGUCAUGCUGCAAUGGAGAAGCUGUGGAUCCAAAAGUGAAAGAGUGAAUGGAAGCUUUGUUUGCUCUUUAGCCCUGUGCCCAGUGUCCUUGUUUGGAAAAGGCAUAUCUUCAUUCCCUCUUGUGCUUCUGGGACUUCUUUGGUACCCAUUCCUAGCACUAGCAAUGUUAGUGCUAAAAUAGACAUAGCACUUGUUUAGGAGUUUGGGGCUGGAAAAGUGACAAACCUGAACAGGUAGGUGGCACAGUGGAGUGGGCAUACUCUGGAGAAUAUUGCCUGACAGCUGUGAUUAAAUUCCUCACUGUAUCAGCUUGUUUAUCUCUAUCUUUUUUCCCCUAUUCAUAUUCCUGGGGAAAAAAUUGUAGGUUAGAGGAGGAAAAAUGAUAGCUUAGAGACAAGGAAAAUACUAAGUUUGGUUUUAGCUGUUUCCUUUAAAUUAAAGGAAUUGGCAAGAUAGUUAGAAAGAAACUGUAGAGACCAACAGUAGAAGUUAGAUCAUUGUGAGAAAC
ensembl:lncRNA